rnacentral:rRNA from 1 species
UACAGAGGUCUCAAGCGUUGUUCGGAUUCAUUGGGCGUAAAGGGUGCGUAGGUGGCGCGGUAAGUCGGGGUGUGAAAUUUCGGAGCUUAACUCCGAAACUGCAUUCGAUACUGCCGUGCUUGAGGACUGGAGAGGAGACUGGAAUUUUACGGUGUAGCAGUGAAAAUGCGUAGAGAUCGUAAGGGAAGACCAGUGGCGAAGGCGGGUCUCUGGACAGUUCCUGACACUGAGGCACGAAGGCCCAGGGGGAGCAAAACGGGG